CUAGAUAGAUGAUAGAUAGAUAAAUAGAGGUCUUUUGUGUUGAUUUUUCUGAAUUCUUUGGGUAAUAAGGUGUGUGGGUUGAGGUAGGAUCUGGCUUUGAACUUGGGGCCAUUUUGCCUCAACCUCUCCAGCAGCUGUAUGUGCCGGCCACAUGUAUAGCUUUCAGGUUUAUUCUGUGGGGAGUCGUAACAUAUAACUAUUGUUCAUUCACAAUUUUCUAAAUUUCGCCUCGUCUGUUUGGAAAUAGUAGGCGAGAGUUUCCUGCUCCCUUUCCCCCACGUUGCCUGGCUGCGCACACUUGACCUGCCUUUGUUGUGCGAAAAUUGUUAUUUUCUCACAGUGUUGCAUGAGAUUUGACUCCCAUGCCGCUCCGUUUCUUGCGCUUAAUUGAGUUUUCCUGCGCUGUUAUGGAGACAGUCAGGCUGGGUUAACCUCCUGGGCUUCCCUUUCACAGAGUUCUGCUUCUGAUGUCUCCAGCUUCACACCCUUCUCCUCUUCCGCUCUGGUGGGCGCAUCUUGUAUUCCGUUCCUUCUGCUUCUGUCCUAUGAGAUUCUGUUCUCCCCUCAGGGGUGGCCUCAGCAGAGGGCGUAGGAUCACUAGGGAAACGAAGGAACUAGAUCUUAGUGUGAGCCCCUCUCGUGCACGCAGUGGUCCCCUGCUCUCUCCUGGCAACUGGCAGCUGAAGAUUCUUCCAGUGUGAUUGGAUGCGUUCAUGUUGGCCCGCUUUGCCAUACCAUGAGCCUUUGUUGGUGGUCUUGUGGGAAGCUUAGGAGGUGGGAGGCUAACUGGAGGAAGCAAGUUAGUAGGGGUGUGCGCUUGGGACUGUAUCUCGUCUCGGACUCCUCCCUGUCUCUUUCUGCUUCCUGCAGUCCAUAAGGUGAGCUCUGUUCCGCCAUGAUGCUCCACCCACCAUGAACUUCAUGUCAACAGAGUCGAGGCUUCUGGACUAUAUCUCUGAAAUCAGGAGCAGGGCAAGCCUUUCCUUCAGUUGUUUGAGACAGGUAUGUUGUCACAGUGAUGGGGUAUAACCGGAAUCGUCAGGUUCCCUGAAGGUGCAUCGUGAGAUAGGGAGAGUGGAAGAGAGCAGGGAGAAGACAUUGCCAAGCAAUGGCCCCGGAAUGCCCUUUACAACGUCCCCAGCCUAUGCAUCUCUCUGAUUUGGCCAUCGAUGGAAAGUCAGCCCUUUCUCUCCUUUGCUCCCAGGUUCAGGAAAUACCACCCAGGUGUGCCUCUUGAACUCCUGCUAAGGUUCUACUACUCUGUCUCAGCCCACAAAACAGGAAGUACAUCAGGUUCUUUGAGCCUUCUUCUCUUGGUUUGAGGGGAGCCAACGCCCCCUCUUGUAGUUGGACGUGGGAGAGCAAAGCCCCGGCAAAAAUGCAUCGUGACGUUUUCAUUAUAUCCUUUAAAACAUACACCUUGUUUAUUUAUUGGGGAUUUAUUUAUUUAUUACUUACGUGUGUAUGUGAUAUGUUCAUGGGUAAGAAUGUGUGUGUGUGUGUGUGUGUGUGUGUGUGUUUGAGUGCACACGUGGCAGCCACACACUAACUUCAGACAUUUCCUCAGUAGCCAUCCAUCUUAAUUUUUGAGGUGGGCCUCUCACUGGGAUCUGGGGCGUAUCAAUAUGGUUAGGCCUAUUAGGCACUGAGCCCUAAAGAUCCCUCCUGCCUCCAUCUCCCAGUGCUUAGAUUAGAGGUGUGUACCUGCAUAUCUGGCUUUUUAAAAGGCUAAUUCUUAAUUUUAUUUUAUUUUUUUUUGUGGUUCUUUUUUUCGGAGCUGGGGACCGAACCCAGGGCCUUGCGCUUCCUAGGCAAGCGCUCUACCACUGAGCUAAAUCCCCAACCCCUAAUUCUUACUUUUAAUUGUAUGCAUGGUGUGGUGAGUGGUGUGUGCACACACACAGGUACACACAGAUACAUACAAACACAUACACAGGCACACAGACACACACACACACACACACACACACACACACACACACACACACACAUCACAAGUGCAGGUGCUUGCAGAGUCCAGAAGAGGUCAUCCUGAAGCUGUAGUUACAGGCAGUUGUGAGUGGUGUUUGGCGUGGAUGAUGGUGUCCAAAUUUGGGUUCUAGAUAAGAGCAGUAUGCUUUGUUAACCUGUAUUUAUGCAGUGAGCACAAGAGUGGUUAAGGUCUGCCAGUCUAACACCAUGAAGCUUUGGCACGCCCUGGAUGGGUGGUACUGUAGCUAAACUUAAGGAGGUGUUGGCCCAGUUCCAAGAAAUAAGAUUAUUCUAACAUCCUGCUCUUUAAUCAUUCAGGAAACAUUUGCUUAGUGGCUAACUUGUAUAGGAUUAUAUUAAUCUUCUUUUUUUGGGGGUAAAGGAAGCUGGUGAUGAGGGCAUUGUCCUGGAAUUAACACUGCAGGAAAACUCCAGGAACUCAAUCAAGGUCACCUCCCAAGUUGUCUCAUAAGCAAAGCUCAAUGGAAGGAAAAGGAGAUGGUGGCGCUGUUUUGGAAGGUCGGAGAGCCCUGUCAGGUGUGAGGUUUGGCGCAGGAAGUGGCUCACUGCUCAGGAGGGCCUUGGGUUGUUACAGCCUCGACUCACUUCCGGUCUGCUUUGUCUCCAGAUUCCUCUUGCCGCCAUGUUGUUUCUGCCCCACCUGACUGCACCUUCAGACAGAGCGCAAGAAGUGAUAAGGAAGAAGGACCACCUGGGAGUUUCGUGCCUGGGUGUGAGCUGGAACCCAAGUGGACAGCAGUCAUCUCUCAGAGCCGUUCUCGGUUGCCUUCAUCAGUCUCCUGGACAGCCGCGGCCUCCGCAGGACCGUUUUGCAGGUCGGGCCCUCUCUGUUUUUCUGACAAUCAGAUUAUCCUAGCCAGGCUCAGGUGCCGCUUAACCGAGUUAGGUACAGAAUAAUUUAAAGCCUCAGCACUCAGGGUUUGAAAAUCUGCCGGAGGCAUGACAGGCUAAAGGCUGAUCUAUGCUUUAUUUGACUUGGAGGGAA